CCUACGGGAGGCAGCAGUGAGGAAUAUUGGUCAAUGGGCGCGAGCCUGAACCAGCCGAGUAGCGUGAAGGAUGACUGCCCUACGGGUUGUAAACUUCUUUUAUAAAGGAAUAAAGUGAAGCAUGUGUGCCUCUUUGCAUGUACUUUAUGAAUAAGGAUCGGCUAACUCCGUGCCAGCAGCCGCGGUAAUACGGAGGAUCCGAGCGUUAUCCGGAUUUAUUGGGUUUAAAGGGAGCGUAGAUGGGUUGUUAAGUCAGUUGUGAAAGUUUGCGGCUCAACCGUAAAAUUGCAAUUGAUACUGGCAGCCUUGAGUACAGUUGAGGUAGGCGGAAUUCGUGGUGUAGCGGUGAAAUGCUUAGAUAUCACGAAGAACCCCGAUUGCGAAGGCAGCUUACUAAACUGUGACUGACAUUGAUGCUCGAAAGUGUGGGUAUCAAACAGGAUUAGAUACCCCGGUAGUC
rnacentral:rRNA from 1 species